UUCUGCCUGCAUAUGGCCCCGAGCUCAAUUGUUGCAAAGGUGAAUUUUGUUGGCAUUCAAACAAAAUUCACCUUUGCAACAAUUGAGCUCGGGGCCAUAUGCAGGCAGAA